GUAGUUAGCCGGGGCUUUCUUACAGGGUACCGUCACUUCUUCGUCCCCUGCGACAGAGGUUUACAAUCCGAAAACCUUCUUCCCUCACGCGGCGUUGCUGGGUCAGGCUUGCGCCCAUUGCCCAAUAUUCCCCACUGCUGCCUCCCGUAGGAGUCUGGACCGUGUCUCAGUUCCAGUGUGGCCGAUCAGCCUCUCAGCUCGGCUACCCAUCGUCGGCUUGGUGGGCUGUUAUCUCACCAACUACCUAAUGGGACGCGAACCCCUCUAAAAGCGAUAAAUCUUUGACCUCUUCCCGAUGCCGGGUUGUGGUCUUAUGCGGUAUUAGCAGUUGUUUCCACCUGUUAUUCCCCACUCUUAGGCAGGUUGUUCACGCGUUACUCACCCGUGCGCCACUAGAAUUAUCAAUUCCAUCCGAAAACUUCCUUAAUAAUCCCCGUUCGACUUGCAUGUGUUAGUCGACGCCGCCACGCGUCGUCUCGAGCACUAAUACUAACUACUACGUACUAGAGCGGCGUGGCGACGGACGGCGACUAG
rnacentral:rRNA from 1 species